rnacentral:snoRNA from 1 species
AUUAAGAUAACGAGUGUUUCCCAAGAUGAUCGAUCAUGAACACACUAUGAACUAUUCUUUUCUCCACUAAGAAUAGAAGAAGAUCAAGCCAUACCUUUAAU